GGCACCACAAAACCAUCCAAUCUAUCUCACGGCUUAAGACCACAAAUUCAGUUUCCUUCUCUGCACAAAACCAAACCGCAAAUCAUUUCUUCCUUUCUAAAUACCAAGACACCGCCCACCGUCUCAUUUCCUUCUCUGCACACUCCACCGAAACCACUGCAAUUUCUCUCCUCAACCACACCAUACCUCUUCCUCUGCAUUCGAUCAAGAGCAUCCGAGAGAGAGAACCACCUAGUGAGCUACAUCCGUGAGCUUGGGAGAAGGAACGUGAGCUGCUAGAAAUUUUUCUGAUCCUGCCGUGAGUUGGAGGGAAGCCAGGGAGGAGAUUUGCAGGAAGCUUCACCAUUUUUCACCUUCAUCUCCACCAACUCCAACCAACCGAACACAAAUCCACCAGCUACACUCAAUUCCAGCCGCAACAUAGGAAACAAGAACCACCGACUGCACUUGGCCAAGAGCUAGGGAAGAAAUUUCUGGAAAAUUUUCGUGUGAAAGUUUAGCUGCUAUCUGAGGUAAUUUCUGGUCUUAUUAGGUUGUUUAUUAGUUGAGCAAGCUUCAUUUGAGCUUGCAUGUUCAGAUUAUGCAAUCGGGUGCUGAAAUCAAACCAUUAGGAAAAUUUCUGUUUUGAUAAAAUGUUGCUACCGAGACUCUGAGGUGUUAUUGCAGCUCCAAUUGUGUUUUUAUGUGACAAUCUGAACAUCUAAGUGUCUUUAACUGAGUGAAAACUUGAAGAUUAAGACCAUGCAUGUUGAAUUGGGCAUUCGGAUGAAGUGUUUAAGCAGAGAAAUAUUUCUGGUUUGGUUAAGAAAAUUUCUACAAAGGAGCUGGCUUGGGAUUGUAAUUUUAUUUCUGAUUUCCUGCGACAAUCUGAGGUUGUUUAAGUGUUUAGCUAGUCAAAAACAAGAAGCUUAAGUUAUCUAGUGACAUGCAUGUGAUGUUAGGCAAUCGGAUGAGAUUUUUAAGAAAAAUAAUUCUGUUAUGUGCUAGUAUAGAAACUGCCGAGAGCUUAGUUUAAAUUGUUGCAGCCUGAUUUAGUUUAAUGUGUUGGUUAAGCUUAUAAACAUGAUUAGAUGGUUAAUAACAAGUUAAUUAAGCUCUGCAUGCAGCUAAUUAGCUAGUUUAAACCAGAAAAUAAAAUAAUAAUGCAAUCUGUUGCAUGCAUGUUUGUCCGAAGCUAGCUGUACAGAAUUUAUGGAAAUUUUGGGAAUUUACAGCUGUUGUUUAAGUUAAAUUUUGAAUUAGAAAUAUUAUUUAGCUAGAUAUGUUUUUGCAUGUCUAAUUUGGGUAUCUAAAACCAGGUUUAGCCGAGGGAAAUUGGAUUUUAUAAACACCUAAGUGCUGGAAAAAUUCUGGAAUAGCCGAGAGGUUUGAUCAGAAAUUUUCGGUUUGUUUUCUUUUGGAAUUUUAACCUAUUUCUGGAUUUUCCUUGGAAAAUGAUGGCUUAGAAAUACCGAGGAGUUGUAAGUUUUAAGUGGUGUAAGUUGUUUAGCAAUGAAAUAUUUGAUAAAUUGAAAAUGGAACCAGAAAAUGUUGUGUUAUACAUGUGGAGAUUCUUAAGUGAUAGCCAAAGGGUGAGUUGGAAACUUAACUUGAUUUUUUUAAAAUUGUUCCUUGAAUCAUGAUGGGUGUAAAUGCUUGGAAUAUGUAGUGUUGAAGUUCUAUAAGAAGUGUAUGGAUAGUUUUAAUAAAAACAUGUUGGUGUUAAAUGAAAAAGGAGUUUUCACAAGUGAGAAAUUGAAAUUUCAGAUUUUCGGAUGUCCCUGACCAGUCUCAAUAAAAUGUUUAUAUCUUGGUGUAGGAAAAUCCGUUUAAGGCGCCGUUAGUGGCAUUUGAAACUAGAAUCAUAGACCUUUGUCCUGUAGAAAUUUUGCAUUUUUCCUCCAGGUGUACUGCUGUCUGUGAAUUCUUGAAGUAGACUGUUUUAGUGGAAUGUCCUGUUUCUUAGUGAAACUGAAAUUGGGUUUUGGAUUGAGACUUUAGCUUACUUGCGGUUUAAAUUCUUGAUUAAAUUGUGGUUGGAAGUAAUUGAUGUUGUCAAGGGCUAAUGAUUGAUGAAACUCUUGGCCAUUUAGAUGAUUUUAUAAGUACUACAGGGUGAUGAAAGUUAAUUGCUGGAAUGUCUUGGAGGCUUUACUUUUAUUUUUAUUUGCUUAUGAUGGGCUUGCUGAAACCAAGUGCUAAUGAUUGAUGAAGCCUUGGUUGAUUAUUUUAUUUUAUUCGGAAAUGCACUUGUUAAAAUCUAGGGCUAAUGAUUGACGAAACCCUAGUAAUUUGCUAUGUGAUUUUUGCCAUAUUUCGAUCCAUAUUAUGAUUUCGAAACGGAAUCGGAGCUGUGGAAGUUGUAUCGACCUUGCGAACUCGAGUGACUGUGGUCAAAGUAAUCAAAAAUAUUUUCCAGUUAGUAUUAUAUUAUAAAACUCAAUAUCUAGUGUUUUGCCUAAAACUUUCCAACCCAAUAAUUUCCUUUAGCUCAAACUAGCCUUGAUAGCUAUAGUAAAUAAGUCCUAUAGCUUUUGAAAACUCUAAGUCUUAUUUUAAUUCCUUUUCUUUCCUUAAGCUUUGCACUUGGAUAGUUAACUAUAGGAAAAGUUUCAAAAUACGAGUUUUACUAAUUUUAGUGAGAAGCUUGGAAAACUUGCUCGGCAAGAAACCCUAUUUUUGAAAAAAUAGUUUUAGGGAUAAUUUUUGCAAAAGUCGUAACUUUAGAGAAAGGUUCAAAGUAACUUUCUAACAUUGAUAUUGAGAGGUUGUCGACUUAUUUCAAGAAAAUAAUACUAGUUAUAUAUUUUUUUAGAAAAAUACCUCAAGGAAAACUAUAAGAAAUAUCUCUUCUACUAUUGUCAAGUUUUAACCUAAGGAACUCUUGAUUUUUCUAAGGGAAAGUGAACUAGUAGUAUAUAAAUAUACCUCAAUGUCUAUAAGCUUAAAAACUGAGUAGAAACUUAUAGUUUCAAAUUUUGGUUUUUAGGGUUUUUCGAGGACGCGGAUUUCGAUCCCCAACUUGAUAUCUGAACUCCACUCUUGGUGAGUGUCCCUGCUUGUUCUAUGCCUAAUCGUUUAAAUUGCUUCCUUGACUUGUUAUGUGAUAAGUUGAAAAAAAUUGGUUUUUGAUCCAUCGAAGUGAGCUGUGUGUACUUUAUCGCACUAGCCGUUCGAGUGGUGACUUGUGCAAAAUAUUUUCUCCUAAAUCCUUGAUUCAAAAAUGGAGUUGCGUCGUUGGGAAAAUCCCUCGACUCUUGUAUCCAACUACCAUGAAUCUAAAUGUAGUUACGUCGUUGGGUGAAUCCCUCGACGCUUGAAUCUAACUACAAAAGUCAUUUGGGUGAAUCCCUCGACGCUUGAAUCUGAUUGCAAUCACGUCGUUGGGUGAAUUUCUCGACGCUUGAAUCUGAUUGCAAUCACGUCUUUGGGUGAAUCCCUCGACUAAUUUUAUACGGGUAUAUCUCGAGUAUACUGCGUCGGUAGACAAAGUUCGGGCCCAAAGCAGAGGUAUGAAUGGUGACGGGUUAGGAUUAAAAUAAGUGGAUCUACAUGGACUAUAAGUAGUGAAAGUUGACGGAGGCUCAACUACGAGAUUAUCUCAAGCGAGGAGAAUGGCUCCCGAAAGCUCCUGUAUCCUACCUUGUGCUGUUAUACGCUUUCCUAAUUGAUUAAAUUUGUUUAAAUUGUUAUCCGUUGUUUGAUUUAUGUGAUUGCAUGUUUUGGGGCACCACUGAGCUUUAGCUCACCCCACGUUUAUUGUUUUUCUUAACAGGUUCUGGAAACUGAAAGCUGGAUGCUUACUUAUGUGUUUCUUUUGGAUUGUAUUUGAAUACUAUAAUUUAUUCUGUGGGCUGUAAUGUGUUAUUUAGGAUAAUGUAUUUUCCUUUUGGAUUGCCACUUGAAACUGGAAAAAUGUGUAAAACCUAAUUCGAUUACUUGGCUUGUAAGUUUGUAUUAUGGAUUUAUGUAGUUAUCUAUCUGGUUUGGUACGACUUUAUACUUCGGUACGUAGCACGUAGGUCGUUUAAGGGCCUCGACUGGUUAUUUUAUUAUUGCUAUCUCUGAAGUUAAUGUGGUUUUUAGGUAUGAUUCUUUUCGAGAAAAGUUGUUUUGUAAUAGAUUAAGAUAUUCUUCGAAAGGAUUUGGGUUAGAAUGCUUGCGUGAGUCCUGGCGAGAGUUGGGCAGACGGGC
rnacentral:lncRNA from 1 species